rnacentral:tRNA from 1 species
GCGUGUGGUCUAGUGGUAUGAUUCUCGCUUUGGGCGCGAGAGGCCCUGGGUUCAAUUCCCAGCUCGCCCCAU